GUGAACGCUGGCGGUAGGCCUAACACAUGCAAGUCGAACGGCAGCACAGUAAGAGCUUGCUCUUACGGGUGGCGAGUGGCGGACGGGUGAGGAAUACAUCGGAAUCUACUUUUUCGUGGGGGAUAACGUAGGGAAACUUACGCUAAUACCGCAUACGACCUACGGGUGAAAGCAGGGGAUCUUCGGACCUUGCGCGAUUGAAUGAGCCGAUGUCGGAUUAGCUAGUUGGCGGGGUAAAGGCCCACCAAGGCGACGAUCCGUAGCUGGUCUGAGAGGAUGAUCAGCCACACUGGAACUGAGACACGGUCCAGACUCCUACGGGAGGCAGCAGUGGGGAAUAUUGGACAAUGGGCGCAAGCCUGAUCCAGCCAUACCGCGUGGGUGAAGAAGGCCUUCGGGUUGUAAAGCCCUUUUGUUGGGAAAGAAAAGCAGCUGGUUAAUACCCCGCUGUUCUGACGGUACCCAAAGAAUAAGCACCGGCUAACUUCGUG
rnacentral:rRNA from 1 species